rnacentral:rRNA from 1 species
AUGGGGUUCGCCGCCCGGCCGCUCCCCCUCCUCCUGCUGCUCCUGGUCGCCGGCGCGGCCGCCACCGACCAGAUCUUCACCACCUCAGGUGUGCCGUUCGGGAAGAACUCGCGUGAGCCGAGGUACCGCGUGGAGUUCCACCCUGUCGAUUCGCCCUACCACCCGGAGAAUGGCCAGGAGUCUGAGCCAAUGACGGACCACGAGGGGAGACAGUACACCUGCUACCUACCAGUGGAAGAAACCAAGACCAUGAAGUCGAUUGUCCCACAGAAUGCAACCAAUGUUAUAAUAGAAAGUGAACGGAAAGUUAAGCCAAAGGAGCCAGAUGAACUGCUGGAGGUUCUCAAAGACCAGUGCUUUUACAGGCAUGAAGGUUGGUGGUCUUAUGAGUUCUGCUAUUAUGGGAAAAUCCGACAGGUUCAUGUAGAGAAUGAGAAGGUUAUCCAAGAGUAUGUCCUAGGUGAAUAUGACCCUGAUGCAACCGAUGCUUACCAUGAUAAUCACACCUCCGAGUCUGCUGAUGAGGAUCAUGUGAAAGAUACUUCUAAGAGGUAUCAUGUCCAUGUGUACACAAACGGGACUGUCUGUGAUCUUACCGAUAUACCGCGGUACACAGAGGUUAGGUUUGUUUGUUCUGAGCCUACUGUACUGAUCAGUUCGAUAAAGGAGAUAUCUUCCUGCAAGUAUGUUUUAACAGUCCAAAGCCCAAUGCUCUGCAAAAACCCGCUGUUUCAGCAGGAAAAACGCACCUUCUUCAUCCACUGCAACGAGUCGCUUCCCGAAGCAGAAGGUGAGGUCGCCGAGGACGACGACUCUCUUCCAAAAGAAGCUCAGAUGUCCAUCGUUCCAAACCCCGACGAAUUGCAUAACUACGCAGCUUACGCUACCUGA